AGUUAAAAUCCUUUGAAAGGAACUAUGUUUUGAAAGCAUUUAAAAGGAGUUCAAUUCUCCUAUUAACUU
rnacentral:tRNA from 1 species